AAGACUAUACUUUCAGGGAUCAUUUCAAUAGUAUGUGACUAGAGAAGUUUCUCUGAUCCUGUAGAGCACCUGAAGCCAUGAGGAGGAGCCAGAGCAUUCUCUCCUGAGCGUGAAGCUGGCUUGAGGUGUCGCUUCUGUGGCUGCCUUUGGCCAUUGAUGAUAGGUCUCUCUUUCCUCUGGAAGUGGUAGAGGGAGAGGAUGCAGUCUGAGUGAA